GAUGAACGCUGGCGGCGUGCCUAAUACAUGCAAGUCGAGCGAACAGAUGAGGAGCUUGCUCCUCUGACGUUAGCGGCGGACGGGUGAGUAACACGUGGAUAACCUACCUAUAAGACUGGGAUAACGUCGGGAAACCGGAGCUAAUACCGGAUAAGAUAUUGAACCGCAUGGUUCAAUAGUGAAAGACGGUUUUGCUGUCACUUAUAGAUGGAUCCGCGCCGCUUUAGUUAGUUGUUAAGGUAACGGCUUACCAGGGCAACGAUGCGUAGCCGACCAGGGAGGUUGUUCGUCACCCCUGAACCUGGACACCGGUCCGGCUCCCUCCGGGGGGCACCGGUGGGAAUUUUGCCGCAUUGGGCGAAAGCCUGACCAAGCAUCGCCGCGGGGGUGAUGAGGGUCUCCGGUUCGUAAACCUCUGUUAUUGGGGAAGAGCAAAUUUGUAUGUAACUAUGCACGUCUUGCCGUUACCUAAGCAGAAAGCCCCGGCUACUACGUG
rnacentral:rRNA from 1 species